rnacentral:rRNA from 1 species
CGCGCGGUUCUAUUUUGUUGGUUUAUAGGACCGCCGUAAUGAUUAAUAGGGACAGUCGGGGGCAUCAGUAUUCAACUGUCAGAGGUGAAAUUCUUGGAUCAGUUGAAGACUAACUACUGCGAAAGCAUUUGCCAAGGAUGUUUUCAUUAAUCAGGAACGAAAGUUAGGGGAUCGAAGACGAUCAGAUACCGUCGUAGUCUUAACCAUAAACUAUGCCGACUAGGGAUCGGACGGUGUUAUUCAUGACCCGUUCGGCACCUUACGAGAAAUCAAAGUGCUUGGGCUCCAGGGGGAGUAUGGUCGCAAGGCUGAAACUUAAAGAAAUUGACGGAAGGGCACCACCAGGGGUGGAGCCUGCGGCUUAAUUUGACUCAACACGGGGAAACUCAC